rnacentral:rRNA from 1 species
CAAGGUUUCCGUAGGUGAACCUGCGGAAGGAUCAUUACCACACCCUUCAAAAGA